UACAGAGGUCCCAAGCGUUGUUCGGAUUCAUUGGGCGUAAAGGGUGCGUAGGCGGCGCGGUAAGUCGGGUGUGAAAUCUCGGAGCUUAACUCCGAAACUGCAUUCGAUACUGCCGUGCUUGAGGACUGGAGAGGAGACUGGAAUUUACGGUGUAGCGGUGAAAUGCGUAGAUAUCAUAAGGAAGACCAGUGGCGAAGGCGGGUCUCUGGACAGUACCUGACGCUGAGGCACGAAGGCCAGGGGAGCAAACGGG
rnacentral:rRNA from 1 species